rnacentral:lncRNA from 1 species
UGCAGUUCUUGUGGUAUGGUCUUCUGUCUAUCUCUAUAUCGAACAUUGAUAUGCUUCCAUUGUAGACACAUUGAAGUAGUGCUCCUGCAACUCCAGUCUCCAUUAUCUCUUUCACUCACUCGCACACGUACUGCAAUGCGGUUGUGUGUGUUAGCGAAGGAGUGAAAGAGUUGGUGAAUGUUUUUAUGUAGAUAUUUUUCAUUCGAAGUUGUGAGUGUUUAAGUAGGGACGCGGGAAUGCUCUUGCACUUGCUUCUUGGUGACAAAAUUGAUGUCUUCAAGAAAUGUGUAACCCUGGAGUGGUAAGCUAUGAAAUCAUAGAAUCGAUUUUGUCUAGAGUGCUAGUACUUUUAGUUUUCUUAAACUUAAACUAAAGAGUGAAAGGUGUAGGGAGAAGAAAAUAAAGUAAUGGACUUUGGAGUGUAGCUUAGGAAUAAAUGUGGAGGAGAGAGAAAGAAGUUAAGAUCCGACUUUGUGAAGUUUGAAAAUAAAAUGGUGUUCAUCUGUGAAUUUCAUUGUGGGAUGAAGAUCACUAAGUUUGCCUCUUAAUCCACGUUUUCUUUUCUCUAUUUUGUCUGAUUUGAUGUUUCAUUUGGAAGUGGCCCAUCACUUAGUGGUUAAUUUACUGUGUAUAAUCAUGGAUUAUUCAUUGUAAUCUCAACCUAAUGAGAUGAAUUCAUCACAUCAACAAGAUAAUCUGACUUUUUAGUCGAUUCAUUUUGUCUUAACUGCCAGAUCUUUGAAUUCCAUUCAUUUAGGUGAAAUGUAGUUUCUUGUGCAGGGGUGCAGAUAUGUUUUGCAAAUUGUCUGAAGCACUUCACCUUGGACUAGAGUAAGACUUGAACGCAAUUAACUGCUAAUUAAUUCUUUUAAUAUUUAUUGGUAUCUUUUGCAUGAAAAAUUGAGUGCUGGUUGAGGUUUUAGUUAAAUUUGUUAGACAGGUGUAGACCUUAACAUUUUGGUUUAAUUAUAGUAGUGUGUCUGGAAGCUUGUUGCUUAAGCUCUAUUAUGGACUUGAAGAAAAUGACACCAACUUGCAUGAUAGUGGAUGACAGUGAAGGACCAGUAUGAAACCUAUCUAAAUGCACACCUCUAAAAAUAAUAGUCCCAUAUAUUGUGGGGAUAUUUUUAUUUUGACUUUAUAAACGCACACCCACUGCAAAUGCAUAUUGUUUCUUGGUCCCAAGGCUGUGCAUUUAGACAGGUUUCCCUGUAUGUUUGUGAAUGUGAGAGGUUUGGAAAUGAGGGCUCGCUAGCUUGAGGGGUAGAGUUAAGUCAUGUCUAACCAGUAACCAAUUUUCAGACACAGGAGAGACUUUUCAGUGUCAGGCUGGGCUGGGCCAUGUGAUAAUUUCACAUGGACCUAAUGAAUUGCCAUGGGCUGGGGCUGGGCCAUGUGAUACAUUGCAUUAGUUGUGACGCUGAAUAGUUCCUUAAAUUCUAAAUGUUUCCGUGAUGAAUCUAACUUCAGCAGUUCAGCCAAUGGAGACUUGAAAGCUAAUUCUGAUAGGGGAGUUUAUGGUAGGCUGGAUGGGAACAAUAGACUGGCUAAAAGAAUUAGUUAAAUACCAAAAUCAUGUGGUUAAUUUCUUGGAGUGCAACAAAACCCUGCAUCUAGGUUGACGGCCUGUAAGCCCAUAUUUUAGGUCUGUGUUGUGGGCCCAAUAAGUAACACUUUGCGAACUACCACAUGCAUUGUGGUUGUGAUUUGUGAAGUGUGAGUGUGUGUGUGAGUUGAGUGAGUGAAGGCUGAUUGAGGUUUUUUGUUUUUAGCUAAAGAGGCUGAUUGAGUUUGAGUGUCAUGCAUUAGUGCAUAAUAUAGAUAAGAGCUUGUUGACAAAGUUGGAAUCUUGGAGAAGGCAAUAACUACCAAGUGAAGUGACCAUCUUUUGUGGAUCUUUCUGACUAAAAUUGAACAAGUUUAUGUCUUGUUGAUGAAGACAACACUCACAUAGACUUAGUAUAACACUUCAGGCAUAAUCGAUAUUGAAUUAUUUGCUCAUUAAAACAAAUAAAAAAUGACUUAGAUCUCCUCUUGUAAGUGUCGUGUCUAUACGUCAUAGUUACCCUUUUCUGGACUAACUUCUUGUUUCUCAUUUUCACCUGAUUUUUACUCUUCAACGACAAGAAAAGACUACUAACUACUUGAUCACUUUCCAUCAUUUUUCUUUUCUUUUCUUGAUCUUCAUCAAAACUAGUCUUAAAUUUUGAAUUAUCUUACAGAAAGCAACCUCUGAGACUAGAGAGUGUACACAGUAUUAAUCACAGAGUUAUUAAUCAAAUAAUCAAUUUGAACUUAUGUUUAGAUGUAGAGGACUUUGGUUGUGAAGUGUGGACAACAAAAUUUUCUUGGAAAUUCUAUAUAGAUCCAUAUUGUGAAUUUGACGUUUCGCCUUAAACAAAUCAGUAGAUAUGAUUUUGAAUUAUAUGAUAGGUAUAAGUAGAUAUAGACAAAAUUUUACUUGUACGGGGUUUCAUUAUUUUGACUGUUCACUUCGAGUAAAGUGGAAGAAGUAUGUCUUGUUGGAUAAUUCAAAAGUUCCAUAGACUUAGUACAAGGCCAUGGGCAAAAUCAAGGUCGAAGUAUGGAUUACCCUCAUAUUAGAAAACAAGGAAUGACUUGGAUUUCCUCAUUGCUUUGAAAGUGUAAGUGUUAGUACGACAAGAACAUACAAUUUUGCUCCCAAGAAUAAACGUUUGUUGCAUUAUAUUCCUAACCAGUAUAUGAGUGAUAGUUCAAGUGUCAUAUGAAGUGCAUUAUGUAGACAAGAUAUGUGAAGACAAAGGUGUACUUAGACUUAUAUGUUAUGUUGAUGAAAACUAUAUUGAUAUAGACUUAGGACUAAACUUUAGGUGUAAUCGAUGUUGAAGUAUGGUGUUAUAUAUACACAUUGUGAAAACAAGGGAAUAACUUCUAGUUUUCUCAUGCAAUUGUUGGCACGACAUUGCUACCCUUUUCUUGCCUAGAUUUAAAAGCUAUACAUGUAUAUAAUAUAACUUUAGAUAUUAAUUCUGGAUUCUUCACUAGUUUUCACUUUUGAGGAAAAUAUAAUAAAAUAUAUACUCCUGUGUCAUACAGUAUAUGGGCACAUAUAGGUGUUUUUGUGUAAAGUACUAGAUAUAUAAGUAGUUAGGAAACACAGUCAAAAAAGUUAACUGUUCACUUCAACUGGUACUGAAGAAAUUUGUCGGUUUGAUUAAGACAAUAUUUUCAAAGACUUUAGUAAACAGCACAAUCAAGGUUCAAAUAUGUAUUAUAUAGUCUUGGAAAGCAAGACUAACAUAAUUUCUGUAUUUUAAGUUUAGAUAUUCUUGAUUCUUCACUAGUUUUUCACUUUUCAGGAAAAACAAUAAAAUAGAAAACCCUGUGUCAUAUGACACAAUCAAUUAGAUAUGAAUCACAUAGUUGUUAUCGUGUUUAGUUAGAAAACGCAGUCGACCACGUUAUGUACAUUGAUACAGGGUCUUUUGACUGUUCACUUCCGCUAGUGCUGAAGAAAUUUGUCUUGUUUAUCAAAACAAUAUUUCAGACUUAGUAGAACAACAUAGCUGCAUAGGCACAAUCAAAAUUCAAAUAUGUUUUAUAUAUAUUAUUGGGAACAAGACUAACUUGAUGUCCUUUUUAGCUCUUUGCUUAGAAAUUGAGAGUUGGUAGGUUCACAAAUAUUCUUGCAGACAUGGUAGAACACUAAUAUUUUCAUAGACAUGCAUAUGUAGCAAUUACUCGAAAACUCAUCUUAAGUUCUUUAUCCAACGUGAUUACAUGUAGAUUGGAGUGUACUUACUGUUCUUGUGGUGGAUCCUUUACAGAAUACAAGGUUAGUAGGCUUUGGAUUUUCUACUUACAUGGUGUAAUAGACAAAAUGUAGCCAAUCAUAUUUGGUUAGAUAUCAAAUAUAACAUACAGUACAUGCUCUGGUGAGGGUGAUUGUGGCUGGAGAUUUGGACAAUGAGUAAUUCUUGGAGUCUAUGCAUAAAUAUAAAUCUUAGUUUUUAAAUAGCAAGUCAUAAACUAUAGAUUAUUAUUUAUAUUUUAAUGUUUAUAAUCAAUUAAGUUGAUUGAUCUCCACAUUAAUAGAAUUCAAACUUUGUAUCAGUGAAACAAGAAGUGUGAAGACAAACCUGUAUGUACUUAAUAGUAUCGAUGGCAUGCAUUCUUGUCCUUAACUAUAUAUUAUUUGACUGUUCUCUUGGACUAAAACAACUGAAGGAUAUAUUCUUGUCGAUUAAAGCUAAGACACUAUUUUCAUAUAUAAUUUCCUCUGCUUAGAAAUGGGAAGUGUUGCACUUUUGUCAAAUUAUUCCUUAUUGGUACUUAUUUCAUUGUCCUACUACAUAUGUACAUUAUAAUAUGUUUGUCUUGUUAAUGCCAAUAUUCUUAGUCUUCAUAGAGCACUAUAGGCAUAAACAAUGCUAUAGCAUGUGUUACACUCAUUGGAAAAACAAGGAAUAUACCGUUUUUUGUAUAUAUGAUUGAUAGUGUUUAUACGACCAAAGUUCACUCUAUGCCCAUGUUCUCAUUUAGUAUGGAAGUGUGCUGUAUCAUAUGGACCUUAAAAUAUCAUGUUUUUUUAUAAGAUGAGUUGGUUAAGACAGGAAGUGUGUAAGGUUUUAGUUUGUCUGAAAAGGCUGUGCUUAUGUAGACUAAUAGAUACCACACACGAGGCUAGUGAGCCAUGGUAAGUCCUCUCCUCUUCAGCAAACCGAGUUAUCCUAAGAAGGUAUGCCAGCAUUCAUCUUGAAGCAAUGUUUUUAGGCGGGAGAGAUUAUUUGAGAAUCAGUAAUAUGAAGACAAGGUUGCAACUUUGCGUACAGCACUUAGGCAGUCUGAAUUGUGUGUAGUAAUAACAUUGUAAACAAUAAGCAGCUUUAUUGUUUCUUAAGGAUAUGCAGAAGCUAUGGAGAAGGCAUUAGAGAAAAGGUGGGAUGUGCUAUGGAUUGAAACUGAUUCAGAAGCAGCAGCAAAAGCAGUCACUGGAAGUUCAGAAGUAAAUGUGACCAGUUAAAAAUGCAGUUCAAAUGGCUUCUGGUCACAUGUACAAAAAGGGAAGCAAACUUAGCAGCAGACUGUUGUGCUGGAAAGGGAGUCCACUUAGAUAGAAACUGUAAAAUCUGGUUUGGCUCAGACAAUCUUCCUAGUGUGCCAUUAGAGAGUCCAUACUCAGUGUAUUACAGAUAUUUUUUUUUGCCAGUGUAUUACAGAUUUUGUUUAUGUAACUGGUGCUUGCAUCUUUGUUUUUUUUUUUUUUUGAUUGGCAAGCAGGGUUGAGGGGACCCUUACCCCUUUUAAAUUACGUGUGGAAACUUCUAUCAACAAUCAGCUGUUGACGUGUUUUGAACCCACAACCUCUCCACUUUCUGAUAGGGGUGUUUGUAUCUUUCUUCCUUUUUUUUUUUUUUUUUUUUUU